rnacentral:rRNA from 1 species
GAUGAACGCUGGCGGCGUGCCUAAUACAUGCAAGUCGAGCGAACGGACGAGAAGCUUGCUUCUCUGAUGUUAGCGGCGGACGGGUGAGUAACACGUGGAUAACCUACCUAUAAGACUGGGAUAACUUCGGGAAACCGGAGCUAAUACCGGAUGAUAUUUUGAACCGCAUGGUUCAAAAGUGAAAGACGGUCUUGCUGUCACUUAUAGAUGGAUCCGCGCUGCAUUAGCUAGUUGGUAAGGUAACGGCUUACCAAGGCAACGAUGCAUAGCCGACCUGAGAGGGUGAUCGGCCACACUGGAACUGAGACACGGUCCAGACUCCUACGGGAGGCAGCAGUAGGGAAUCUUCCGCAAUGGGCGAAAGCCUGACGGAGCAACGCCGCGUGAGUGAUGAAGGUCUUCGGAUCGUAAAACUCUGUUAUUAGGGAAGAACAUAUGUGUAAGUAACUGUGCACAUCUUGACGGUACCUAAUCAGAAAGCCACGGCUAACUACGUGCCAGCAGCCGCGGUAAUACGUAGGUGGCAAGCGUUAUCCGGAAUUAUUGGGCGUAAAGCGCGCGUAGGCGGUUUUUUAAGUCUGAUGUGAAAGCCCACGGCUCAACCGUGGAGGGUCAUUGGAAACUGGAAAACUUGAGUGCAGAAGAGGAAAGUGGAAUUCCAUGUGUAGCGGUGAAAUGCGCAGAGAUAUGGAGGAACACCAGUGGCGAAGGCGACUUUCUGGUCUGUAACUGACGCUGAUGUGCGAAAGCGUGGGGAUCGAACAGGAUUAGAUACCCUGGUAGUCCACGCCGUAAACGAUGAGUGCUAAGUGUUAGGGGGUUUCCGCCCCUUAGUGCUGCAGCUAACGCAUUAAGCACUCCGCCUGGGGAGUACGACCGCAAGGUUGAAACUCAAAGGAAUUGACGGGGACCCGCACAAGCGGUGGAGCAUGUGGUUUAAUUCGAAGCAACGCGAAGAACCUUACCAAAUCUUGACAUCCUUUGACAACUCUAGAGAUAGAGCCUUCCCCUUCGGGGGACAAAGUGACAGGUGGUGCAUGGUUGUCGUCAGCUCGUGUCGUGAGAUGUUGGGUUAAGUCCCGCAACGAGCGCAACCCUUAAGCUUAGUUGCCAUCAUUAAGUUGGGCACUCUAAGUUGACUGCCGGUGACAAACCGGAGGAAGGUGGGGAUGACGUCAAAUCAUCAUGCCCCUUAUGAUUUGGGCUACACACGUGCUACAAUGGACAAUACAAAGGGCAGCGAAACCGCGAGGUCAAGCAAAUCCCAUAAAGUUGUUCUCAGUUCGGAUUGUAGUCUGCAACUCGACCACAUGAAGCUGGAAUCGCUAGUAAUCGUAGAUCAGCAUGCUACGGUGAAUACGUUCCCGGGUCU